GACCACGUAGCUCAGUUGGCAGAGCAUUGGGCUAGCAUUCCAAAGGUCGUAGGUUUGAUUCCCACCGUGGUCA
rnacentral:tRNA from 1 species